GAAUCCCGUCUUUGACACGGACUGCCUGUACAUUAUGGUGUGCUCUCGAAGAGUCGAGUUGUUUGGGAAUGCAGCUCAAAAUGGGUGGUAAAUGCCAUCUAAAGCUAAAUAUUGGCGAGAGACCGAUAGCGAACAAGUACCGUGAGGGAAAGAUGAAAAGAACUUUGGAAAGAGAGUUAAACAGUACGUGAAAUUGCUGAAAGGGAAACGCUUGAAGUCAGUCGCGUUGGCUAGAAAUCAACCUUGCUUUUGCUUUGUGUACUUUCUGGUUGACGGGUCAGCAUCAAUUUUGACCACUGGAUAAAGUCUUUGGGAAUGUGGCAUCUUCGGAUGUGUUAUAGCCCAUUGUCGCAUACGGUGGUUGGGAUUGAGGAACUCAGCACGCCGCAAGGCCGGGUUUCGACCACGUUCGUGCUUAGGGUGCUGGCAUAAUGGCUUUAAUCGACCCGUCUUGAAACACGGGCCAAGGAGUCUAACAUGCCUGCGAGUGUUUGGGUGGAAAAACCCAUGCGCGCAAUGAAAGUGAAAGUUGAGAUCCUCUUCAAAGGGGGAGCAUUGACGCCCGGACCAGACCUUUUGUGACGGAUCCGCGGUAGAGCAUGCAUGUUGGGACCCGAAAGAUGGUGAACUAUGCCUGAAUAGGGUGAAGCCAGAGGAAACUCUGGUGGAGGCUCGUAGCGAUUCUGACGUGCAAAUCGAUCGUCAAAUUUGGGUAUAGGGGCGAAAGACUAAUCGAACCAUCUAGUAGCUGGUUCCUGUC
rnacentral:rRNA from 1 species